GACGAACGCUGGCGGUGUGCUUAACACAUGCAAGUCGAACGGUAAGGCCCUUUCGGGGGUACACGAGUGGCGAACGGGUGAGUAACACGUGAGUAACCUGCCCUCAUCUCUGGGAUAACAGUCGGAAACGGUUGCUAAUACUGGAUAUGAGCUUGCAAGGCAUCUUGUGGGUUGGAAAGAUUUUUUUGGUUGGGGAUGGACUCGCGGCCUAUCAGCUUGUUGGUGAGGUAGUGGCUCACCAAGGCUUCGACGGGUAGCCGGCCUGAGAGGGCGACCGGCCACAUUGGGACUGAGAUACGGCCCAAACUCCUACGGGAGGCAGCAGUGGGGAAUAUUGCACAAUGGACGGAAGUCUGAUGCAGCAACGCCGCGUGCGGGAUGACGGCCUUCGGGUUGUAAACCGCUUUCAAUUGUGACGAAGCUUUUUUGUGACGGUAGCAGUAGAAGAAGCACCGGCUAACUACGUG
rnacentral:rRNA from 1 species